rfam:Kyrpidia tusciae DSM 2912, complete genome.
UCCACCGUCAGGUGGAAUCCGAAGGCAGCCGGAGGGAGGCGAACUCACGGCCCGAUGAACAAGAACCUCAUAUGAGGCUACGCCGUGCUGGAUGCGGACCCGCAUGUCCGGUGGUGUGAGAGGACGGGGCUAGCC